UACGUAGGUGGCAAGCGUUGUCCGGAUUUAUUGGGUUUAAAGGGUGCGUAGGCGGUCAAAUAAGUCAGUUGUGAAAUACGGCAGCUCAACUGUCGAGGUGCAAUUGAUACUGUUUGACUUGAGUUCUGUUGAGGUAGGCGGAAUGGACGGUGUAGCGGUGAAAUGCUUAGAGAUCGUCCAGAACACCGAUAGCGAAGGCAGCUUACUAAAGAGUAACUGACGCUGAGGCACGAAAGUGUGGGGAUCAAACAGG
rnacentral:rRNA from 1 species